GGUUGGUCCAAUGGUAGUGGGUUAUCAAGCUUAUUAACAUUAGUGUCACUGAAGUUGGUAUACAACCCCCCACUAAUAAAUUUGACUAGCUUUGA
ensembl:Y_RNA Y_RNA Y RNA